GCCCUUCCUACUGUUAACUAAUUGACUAUGAAGUAGGCGUGAAGUCUGGUGUAGAUCACACCAGACAGAGACAAGCAAGGCUGCAUUUAUUACUCAAGAGAAAAAAAUAUAUUGAUUGUAUGAAGUAAGACUCAAAGUCAUGAUUAUGGGGUCAGUUGUGGACUCCUUUUCAACCAUGUCGCUCUUUGCUGAUAUCUUUCUAGAACUGUAGUUCUCUGAAACUCUCUGCCUCCUGGCCAUUUUGUUUUCUACAGGCAUCAACAUCCAGAGGAUCAAACUGAACAUCAAACUCACCAAUUUGAGAGAACUUACUCAGCAAAGCAUCAAUUGGUUAAAGACUGGCUAAGGAGGAGAAGGAAGAGGAGGAGGAUGGAGAUACAAUAAUAACAACAACAACAACAACAAUAUCAACAAUGUCUGUUGUUGCUGCUCUUGUUGUUGUUUCUGUUAGUUAG